CCUGAGAAACCCAAAAGAUCGAAUGAGGAGAUUCAACAUCAGCGCAUUUUAGUAUAUGUAUAAGUUGCGAUGUUAAGAAAUUUUUCUUACACGUGCUUGUAUCAUUUAAUUGCUAAAUGUUGUCGGUGUGCACUUCUCCUCUAGUAGGACGUCGCGACCCGUUAGGCGUCGGUCUACGACCCAAAUGGAUGUCUUUAAUGUACACUUUAAUCGGUGUUAUUGUUAAAGACCAUUGGUGAAUUCUAACCGGCUGCCUGGCGGUAUUCAAAUGGUAUUGAGCCGCAUUUUUAUAUGCGUCGAACUCACCACAAGCCAGAUUAGUGUUCCAAGUAGUACGGACCUAGUGCCGUCGCUUGGCCUGAUUAGCUGUUAGUUGUGUGAUGUUCUUCGACUGGCUCGAUUGAUAAUAUUAUUAUACCGGUCAGCGAUGCUACUGCUUUGGGUACUUUCAGGACCCGUCUUGAAACACGGACCAAGGAGUCUAACAUGUGCGCGAGUCAUUGGGAAUUAAUUUUUUUUAAAUAAACCUAAAGGCGUAAUGAAAGUAAAGGUCGGCCUUGUGCUGACCAAGGGAGGAUGAAUUGUGUUACGAUGCAAUUCCGCACUCCCGGGGCGUCUCAUUCACAUUAUGUGAAGAGGCGCACCUAGAGCGUACACGUUGGGACC
rnacentral:rRNA from 1 species